rnacentral:rRNA from 1 species
AGCGAACGUUGGCGGCGUGCUUAACACAUGCAAGUCUAAGGGGAAAAGGGGGCAACUCCUGAGUACACUGGCGCACGGGUGAGGAACACGUGAGUAAUCAACCUUCCAGACUGGGAUAACCUGCCGAAAGGCGGGCUAAUACCAGAUAGUUUGCCUCUUCCUUCGGGUGGAGUCAAUAAAGACGGGUUUCUGUCACUGGGAGACGAGCUCGCGUCCCAUUAGCUAGUUGGAGAGGUAACGGCUCACCAAGGCAACGAUGGGUAGCUGGUUUGAGAGAAUGAUCAGCCACACUGGCACUGGAACACGGGCCAGACUCCUACGGGAGGCAGCAGUGAGGAAUAUUGCGCAAUGGGCGAAAGCCUGACGCAGCGACGCCGCGUGAGGGAUGAAGGCCUUCGGGUCGUAAACCUCUGUCAGAAGGGACGAAAAUGCGCCAUUUAACUGAUGGUGAACUGACGGUACCUUCGAAGGAAGCACCGGCUAACUCCGUG